UGACCUGGUGGAUCUGUUGUUAGUGUGGUGGGAACCCCCUCCCAUAUCAGGAGCAGAAGAGGCUGAGGCAGAAUGUGGCCAGGCACCAGUCCCACUUCAGCUGGAGGAGUCCUCUGACCAAAAGACCGGGGGGAGAUGUGUAUUCUUCAAACCUGUACUCACAUGUACCACCAGACAAAACGCCGAUGGGUACAGUAUCUGUAUCGGCUGUGAAUGACGACUCACAUGUACCACCAGACAAAACGCCCAUAGGUACAGUAUCUGUAUCGGCUGUGAAUGACGACUCACAUGUACCACCAGACAAAACGCCCAUAGGUACAGUAUCUGUAUCGGCUGUGAAUGACGACUCACAUGUACCACCAGACAAAACGCCCAUAGGUACAGUAUCUGUAUCGGCUGUGAAUGACGACUCACAUGUACCACCAGACAAAACGCCCAUAGGUACAGUAUCUGUAUCGGCUGUGAAUGACAACUCACAUGUACCACCAGACAAAACGCCCAUAGGUACAGUAUCUGUAUCGGCUGUGAAUGACAACUCACAUGUACCACCAGACAAAACGCCCAUAGGUACAGUAUCUGUAUCGGCUGUGAAUGACGACUCACAUGUACCACCAGACAAAACGCCCAUAGGUACAGUAUCUGUAUCGGCUGUGAAUGACGACUCACAUGUACCACCAGACAAAACGCCCAUAGGUACAGUAUCUGUAUCGGCUGUGAAUGACGACUCACAUGUACCACCAGACAAAACGCCCAUAGGUACAGUAUCUGUAUCGGCUGUGAAUGACGACUCACAUGUACCACCAGACAAAACGCCCAUAGGUACAGUAUCUGUAUCGGCUGUGAAUGACGACUCACAUGUACCACCAGACAAAACGCCCAUAGGUACAGUAUCUGUAUCGGCUGUGAAUGAAUGGGCUGUUGGAAAUCAGCACCACGUUCAGCAGGACACAAUGUUGGCCAACGUUCAGAUA